GCAGAAGUGAGAAGCGGCUGCAGCGUGCUCUGAAAAGGCCGCCGCGGUCUUGCAACAGCUGCUCCCGCACAAGAAAUUUGAGACGGUCUUUUCACAAACACAACGGCUGUCAGAAGAAUAGGGAGGCCACACUUCGCCAGAAUGAGUCGUUUGCAAUUGAAAAGGGGAACUGAGAGCUCCCAGUGCUUUCAAAGGUCUGUAUCUACAGCACUACGAAAUGAUUAGUCAAAGUACAUCGUGGAACAGGAGGAAAGUGUGCCGCAGACCAUAGGGGGAAGUAAAUCCUUGCGGUGCUGUUAAAAGUUGAUGCAGCAGCCAUUCUCUGCAGUAUGUGGCACAGAAGAAAGCAUCCACCCCUGGAAGCUACUGGAAUGUUCCACCAAGAAGAGGUUAAGCUAUGCUGGGUCUUGCGUACCAUGAGGUGCAAGGCAUACUGCCUGUGUAGCAGCUCUCCCUGUAGCAUCUCUUCUGAGGAAAAAGGACUGAAAUUUCCACAUCUGUAAACUUUACCAUUGUGUAAGUGUUGGUUUCCCACAAAAAUGGGAAUACAUGAACUGUGUGAUGAACUCUGGUGUGAUUGCAGCGACCAUGGUUGCCAUGAUCAUGAGGUGGUGGAGUUCAGGAUCUCAUGUGGCCAGAACAGAAUACCGAGCAGAAUCACAACCCUGGACUUCAGGAAGGCCAACUGUGGCCUUUUCAAGCAACUGCUAGGGGAAAUCCCAUGGGACAGGGUACUUGAAAGGGCCCAAGAUAGUUGGUUAGCAUUCAAGGACUGCUUCUUCCAAGCUCGAAAUCAGAGCAUUCAAACAGGCAGGAAGUUGAGAAAGGGAGCCAGGAGAUCUGUGUGAUUAAACAGGGAACUGCUGGGCAAGGAAGUGGAAAAGGAGAGUUUACAGAUCAUGGAAGGAGGGGCUGGUCACUUGGGAGGAAUAUAAGACUGUUGUCAGAGGAUGUGGGGAGGCAAAUAGGAAAGCUAAGGCCUCCUUAGAAUUAAACCUUUGUAGAGGGGUCAAGGACAACAAAAAGGGAUUUUUCAAAUACACUGCAGAUAAAACUAAUACUGGAGGCAAUGUAGGUCCACUGAUGAAUGAGGUGGGUGCCCUGGUGACAGAAGACACAGAGAAGGCAGAGUUACUGCUGGAGGCUGUCCUGAUGAUCUCUGUACCCCUGAGUCCCCAGAGGAAAUCAGAAUAAAGGAAGAGUUUGUCUCAGUUGAUGAGGACUGGGUUAUGGGCCAGUUAAGCAAUCUGGACAUCCAUGAAUCCAUGGGCCCUGAUGGGAUUCAUCCGCGGAUGCUGAGAGAGCUGGUAGAAGUCAUUGCUAGGCUGUUCUCCAUCACUGGAUCUAAUAUAAGGUACCCUCCAAAUGCCUCACAGUCCUGAGCACCCCCUGAUGUGUGGCAGCCCUCCUAAAGUAGACCUUCUUUUGGUGUAGCACAUGCCAAAGCACUGAUAAACAGAUCACUCGAACACUGGCUCGGAGUGUACCCACUUACUGUUGAGUAGAAAUCCCUGUGUUUAUAGCACUGAGUUCUUAAGGCCUUGCCUAUCUGAUGAAGAUAGAGCAUUAAUCUGUCUGUGUGUUUUGGGAAUUCAGACACAGUAGCAUUCAACUUCAUAUGGCAACAAAAUGGUGUGGUCAAGGGAAGAUGCAGGCAGAAGACACACUGCAAGUGUCAUACUCCAAGUAACAAGGGCAGUUUGUUUUUUCUAUAUUUUCUUAAAGCAAAUGUGAUUUUGUUUGUUUGUUGACAGCUAUGUUCUAAGUAAAAAUGUUUGAAGGCUUUUGAAAAAUAAAAUAAAUAUAUUAGACCAGUAUUCCGGAGGGCAUUUAUGUGUAGUCAGUUAAAAGCUUUUGGACGAAACUGAAAUAAGCAAUGAAUGACUUUUCAGAAUUCUCUAGUGGCAUUUUUCUUGGUAAUAUUUCCCCCUAUCUUUGUUCACCAGUGCAGCAUGGUAUACAAGGAAAUUCCCGUAUGUCACCUCAUUUGACCCUGAGAGCCUGGCUUGUGAGCAGAUACUGUGCUCAAUUUUUGGCCAUGCUGCUGCCUGGCUCCUCUGAAGAAGCACUGCUGCAGGUAGAUAUAGAAAGGUCCAACACCGUGCCCCCAUUUCUAAGUGGGAUGAUGGGCAGACAGGCAUGCGUGUAUUAUGCUGUCUAAAUGUUGGAGUGCCUGUUUACAGAACAGGGAAGCCAGGAGGCUAAGCUUUUGUUUUAGUGAUUCUCUAAAUGCACAGACAGGGAAUAGUACUCUGAGGUCUGGGGCAGCCACCCUUGAGAAGAGGGAGAGGCAAGACAUUGCAGAAGAGCACUGAGAGCACCUGUGUGUACUGUUCUUGCUUUCUGUAACUGCUCAAAAGAAAUUAAGGGGAAGUUCAUAGUAAGGUCCUGAAUUAUUAUUAUUAACACUUGCUCCAGGUGUUGUAAAAAUUAAAAACAAAACAAAACAAAACAAAAAAACGACAUGGCAAACACAGGAAAAAAGGAAAAAGCUUCAGCUGGGAGAAAAACUGAAGCCAGAAAAAGGUAAGUUUAAGAGAUAGCAGUUCCUGGCAGAAGAGAGACCCCAGGACACAUUUGGAGGACAGAUUUUCUGGGCUGGAAAAGGCUUUGAAGGAAACAUGAAGGAAAAAAUUAAAAAGGAGGGAAAAAGGAGAAAAAGGCCUUGUUUGCACUCUAAGUCCCAGAAGUGAUAACCACAUCCUCUUUCCACAGCUGCUUUUCUUUAACUGCCCUGCCACUGCCGUGUAUAUGGUCAGUGCUCGCAUUUGGAGUGUGAAUCUGUCACUUAGCAAUGAUGAGGAGGCACUUGCUCCUGACCUUUUUCUUUGAGUGUUUCAAUAAUUUAUAGCUGUGAAGUUUGUUCAGCCGGUAGGCUAAGGUCCGUGUACCACCUCGCAGCCCUGAUAUGUCCUAAGUUUGGCAGACCAAAUACAGGGCUGAUGUAUAACACUGCAAUCAACCAGGGCAACACUGUCUUCCUCUUCCAUCCACACAUAAUGACUUGGUUUUGGUGAUAAUAUAGAAAAAAAACAUAUUGAAAACUGGGUUAUAUGCUGGCCUCAGCUAGCAGAGUAAGAGCAUGUAAUAAACAUCCUCAUUAACAGAUCUGUUCAAAGGCAGUAUGCAGCAAUACUGCUUCUGUGCCUGAGCAGGGGGAUGGAGCUGGGAAAACAGCCUAGCUCAACUGCAGGUAGCCCAGAUGAUCAUGAGUCUCUAGAAGAUGGAGUCUGCCCUCAGGAAGGGCAGGCUGGCCAGGGCAGCAUGCCUGUGGCAGACCCUGAUUGCCCCUACAUCCCUCUGGCAGCAAUAAUGCAAAUGGUGGGGCUUGUAUUUUCAGGACUGCUGGGAGUUUUAUUGCAGGUGUGUGCAGAACUUGCACAAAAGUACUGCACAGGAGAGAGGCCCCAGCUCACUUGCAGCAGCAGGCUUGCUCUUUGGAAGCCAGUGGCUUGUUCCAAGAUUGAUGGCAAGUAAUAGCAGAAGCCUGUGUCAUUUUGCUACUUUCCAGACUCCAACUUUUCAGAAGGUGAUAUUGCCUUUCAGCUGAAUUGCUUUGGACUCUCCUGACCUUUGCUCUGUUGAGAACUGAAUUAGCCAUCUUGCUGUAGCUAAACCUUCACUGCUGCUACAGAAAUGUGUAGUAAUAAAAUAAAUUGGCUCACAGUGACAAAAUUGAGUGACAUUUUACUUCACAGAACUGUAUGAUAGCCUCGCACUUUACAGCAUCUUCUAAGCAAAAAAAAAAAAAAAAGUUUUCACUUAGAUUUUUUUUUCUUCUUUAAUUAUUUUUCUCUUUACCUCCUUAUAACUUGUCCCUCCCAUUUUUUAUUAACAUCUGUGGUCUGAUAUUGUCUCACAUUAUGUUUUCAAAGCAUAUAAACACAUGAAAAGUAUUACUGAGCUAUAAGAAAUCAGGCAAGACAGGAAUCAAAAUAAUAAGGAACAGUAUAAAGUAUUCUAAAUAUAUUUCUCAGUGUUGCCCCUUUGUGAGGGAGGGAGGAAUGUCAUUGCUUGGAGCAAAUCUACGGGGCAAUGUGUGCUAAAAAAGCACCACAGUGCCUCUAUUUCCUUCAUAUCUGUGAAAAUCUGAAAGACCAAAAGAGCUAGCAAGUUACGAAGGUAAAAAGGAAGAGGUUACUGCAAAUAUCAGUGAGGGAGCUCACUGCUUACAUGAGACAAAAGAGAACCAGCUGGGAAGCUGAAUUUUGGGGGAUGCAAGCAGUAAAUGUAAUUGAUGUGGUACUGCAAAGGGCUGAGUGCCUUUCUGAACAAUGGCUUGUGUCUUGGUUCUGUCAGGAGGGCUGCUGGUCUCUGACCAGACUCAAUCCAGAGAAAUUGGCAUUGUUUUUAGUGUAGCAAGAUACAGCAAAUAGAGUGAAAGCUAGUGGUGUCUGUACAGGUUAUCCAGUCAUUGCUGCAAGAAUAAAUCACUGUCACACCCUCUGUGCAGGGUAAUCUUUAUCUCAAAUGUGCUUCUGUUAAACAGAAUUACAAGAUAAAACAAAACAAACCCCACCAUUCUCCUCUCUCUGCCUAUUGAUUCUGUUAUGUGCUCAAACAAGUAGCACAGUGCCUAGCAAGCUGGAGUGGUGCCGCCUUGCAAUUUGGGAUGUUUAUCCAGGAUUGCAGAAAGCAUGCAACAAUUUUGACUGCAAAGGUUUAUUGCAUUUUCUGGGAAUACUGGUUCUGUUCUAGAAUGCAGUCUUUCCAAGCAGGCCAAGAAGCAUCAUUUUUUAAUGGGACAAGUCUUUAGCAGACACCUCUAUGAUUAGAAUUUUCCCUGUGCAAUUUUUGGAGAAAGUGUGUUUGUGUGCUACUUUGGGGGAAAAAAUAAAUGCAUACUUUGGAAAAUCUACAGAGUAAAAAAAUACUUGUGAUAUUAAUCUGUUGUGCUAUUUUUAUAUGUUGUGGUAGUUUCUUCUUAUGAAAUAUUUGCAUGCAAAAUAAAAUAUGAGUUAAAAAUCCAAAGUGCAAUUGAGAUUCACAAAUGAAUAACAUCCUGCAAACUUUUCUGCUCAUUGAGUCACUUUAAUGUAUUUAUUUUUUAAUGUUAGUGAACUUCUCUUUGAUAUUGGUAAGAAAACCCACAAAACUUCACUAACAUUCAGAUCUUCUGAAUAACUUUCCCACAUAAGAGGGGAAUUUUUCUUGUGGUUUUUCAAUAGAUACUCAGUCUGUUUUGGCUAAGCACCUUCAUAAGUUUUUUCUUCUAAGUCUAAGGCUUUUUCAAGAGCUUGCAGGUGGAUUAGAAAACAGUGCUCUGCUUUCAACUUUCUGUUUCUGGUCUACGAUAAAAGAGAAUCAUAUUUUCUAUUAUUUUCUAACUAGCUUUUUUAUAACUGAGAAGAGGCUUGUGUGAGAAAUGAAGAACAUCAAAGGCUAGUGGAAGUUAACUCAGGUGUAUCACUAGCAAAUUGUCUUAAAUAUGGAAGUUGUAGGCUAUACGACCAGUUCAAAAUACUGUUGCUUCACUUUCCCUUUAUUUCCUUAAAACAAGUAAAAUGACUGUUUUGGAAAAGUGUCGUCAUGAUGUUAAAUUGACCUUAAAAUUGCAACCCAAGGAAGUUUGUUUGGGCAUAAGGGUCAAGUGAGCUGCAGUUUCUGGGAUUUAUUUACCUAAUUGUCCAUCAAAACAAGUUACAUGUUUUGGUAAGUAAGCUGGAGCAAGUAUACAAAACUUUCUAACACUCCACAGAAACAACUGUACUGCCAUAUUGAUUUGUUUACUGUAUUGUUCAGUGUCUGCUUAUGUGUGUUUACAUUUUUUUGUGCACCCUGGAGAUUCAUCUGACUUUCAUUAAUGCUUAAGAUAGACUUAUUUGCUAACAAAAAUUAUUCAUGAAUGAAAAUUAUUGUUUCUUUUCAAAAUGGCCCAAACUUUGAGUGAGAUCUGCAUUCUCAAUCCUAAACAGUGAAUUGAUGUGUGUUGGCAGGAGCCAAGUUGUUCCUUAUAUAUGAAAUUUCUUGUAAAUAGUGUUUGCAGAUUUCUCAGGAUUUCUGUGUGUCCACUCUCUAGUGUGGUAUGGGUUAUGUGGCUUUGUACAUUCCCCGUUUCUGUGAAAUGAUUGGCUUUGUGCAAUUUGGUGAGGAAGCAGAUCUUUAUUUAUUUAUUUAUUUAUUUAUUUAUUUAUUUAUUAAG
ensembl:lncRNA